UGGGGAAUAUUGGACAAUGGGGGAAACCCUGAUCCAGCAAUGCCGCGUGAGUGAAGAAGGCCUUAGGGUUGUAAAGCUCUUUCGCCCGCGAAGAUAAUGACGGUAGCGGGAGAAGAAGCCCCGGCUAACUCCGUGCCAGCAGCCGCGGUAAUACGGAGGGGGCUAGCGUUGUUCGGAAUUACUGGGCGUAAAGCGUACGUAGGCGGAUGCGCAAGUUGGGGGUGAAAUCCCGGGGCUUAACCUCGGAAUUGCCCUCAAAACUGCACGUCUUGAGACCGAGAGAGGUAAGGGGAAUUCCUAGUGUAGAGGUGAAAUUCGUAGAUAGUAGGAAGAACACCAGUGGCGAAGGCGCCUUACUGGCUCGGUACUGACGCUGAGGUACGAAAGCGUGGGGAGCAAACA
rnacentral:rRNA from 1 species